rnacentral:misc_RNA from 1 species
AAUUCUCAAGCUGAAUGGCUUUAUUGCUGUUCUAGUUUGGAUUUGGGCUUUGCUGUGUCAUUACAGCUGGUCUUAAAGGAAUUAGCUGAAUCUUGGUUUUGGGACUUUGGUUUGACUCGGCGUGAUAGUUUUCCUGAAUCGCCGAGGACAUCUUUUGGGAUGACCAAGAACCCCUUGUAUGCCUCGAAUCGCUUCUAAUCUGGUUUAAUGAGACUUUCGGGAAUCAUUAUCCAACCCAUUUUCAUG